AGCCCAAACACCUCCUCCAGUACGCAUGGGUACCUGGUGUCACAGAGCCACGGGAUGGCUGAGGGUGGAAGGAAGCUCUGGGGAUUGUAGGAGUCUUUAAAGAUCUCCAGUACAGGGAUAAAGAAAGCAGAUGAUGAUGUGAGAUGGAGCCUCCCUUGGCCUGACCUUGGGAUUGCUGAAUAGCUCAUGACUGGCAAAAUCCUGGAUUGAGUUCAGUUGGAUUUUAUGAGGGAGCAGACCUCUCCUUCCACCAGCAAGAAGCCCACGACCAAGCUGAUGUGAGCAGUCAGAGCUGGAGAGUGGCCACGGACCGGCUGCAGGGCCCCAGCAGCCCUGGCUAUUUCUGGCUUUGUGACCGGCUGAGUGAGCACGAUUAGGUCGCUCACAGAGGCAGGGCCAAAAAGUUUUGCCAGCACAAAUCACCUGCAUUACAUCCCACGAGGGGCUUGCUGUGCCUUCACAGAGGAUUUGCACAAGGGGUGGUCUCAUCCAUGCCCAGUCAUACUCUGAGCUUUGUGGGCUUGGACAGAGCAGCCUGCCCAGAAGAGCUGGGACCUGCUGGCCCUCCAGGUGAACCACACAUCUACCCCUUCUCCCUGGGUUUUGUCAAGGGGAGGAAAUACAAGAGUAGUGGUUGGCAGGAGGUGAUCUGCUGGUGGUUGAGAGCACAAUGUCAUCGUCUCUUAUUUUCAGCAUCCCUAGCCAUGUCAAUGAGUUUAAAUAUGAGCAGCAGCUCACACACAACCUGAGUGCAGACACAACACAUAGACAUGCUCAUGAGUCAUUUUACACCCAUGCGUAGAGGUGCGAGAGCCCCCAUCAAAGGCAGCAGAAGAAACUGGUGUUGACGUGGUGGAAUCGUGCCCUUCCUCCAGGUCUCAUCAAGGCAGGACACUGACACUGGCUGCAAAGACUGGGCCAAGCCUCACAGUGAAGGCAAACACAGCCCUGUAUGGGUGCUGCCACCCAGAAAUUUGCUGCUGGCCAUCUCAGCCAGCUGGAUGGCCUGGCAGGGCUGGCGUGUCCCUCCAUUCUCCUACCCCACCACAGCCCCUCUGCUGGGGCCCACUCCAACGCUGUUAUGGCACCAAUGACCCAAAGUAGUCAUGUACGGGACCAUAAAAUGCCACUCCACGAGGAUAUCGGGAAGCAAAGGAAGCCCUCAGGCAGCUCCCAUGGUGUUUCUCCUCCGGCUGCAGGCACGGCGCUGCUGUCGCUGCAGGAGCGAGGCCUCCUCGGCGCAGGGCCCCGCAUUCAGCCAUUUGUUUCCCUUCCCGAUCUGACAGGACAGAGACAGGUUUUACUGAGCCGCUGAGCAACCCGUGAGGCCUGUCUGUGCACCAAGGCUUCUCUGAGCACGUGGGUUGAGAGGUUUAUUGGAUCGGGGGAUAAUUUAGUAUCCAUUUUUCACAGCACGUCCAUUUGUAUUAACUCGGCCUCACGGUCUGUUUCUGUCCCCCACCCCCAAGGUACAGGAGUGAUGAU